rnacentral:rRNA from 1 species
GAUGAACGCUGGCGGCGUGCCUAACACAUGCAAGUCGAGCGAUCUUCUUUGGAAGAGAGCGGCGGACGGGUGAGUAACGCGUGGGUAACCUGCCCUGUACACACGGAUAACAUACCGAAAGGUAUGCUAAUACGGGAUGAUAUAUGAAAGUCGCAUGGCUUUUAUAUCAAAGCUCCGGCGGUACAGGAUGGAUCCGCGUCUGAUUAGCUAGUUGGUAAGGUAACGGCUUACCAAGGCGACGAUCAGUAGCCGACCUGAGAGGGUGAUCGGCCACACUGGAACUGAGACACGGUCCAGACUCCUACGGGAGGCAGCAGUGGGGAAUAUUGCACAAUGGGCGAAAGCCUGAUGCAGCAACGCCGCGUGAGCGAUGAAGGCCUUCGGGUCGUAAAGCUCUGUCCUCAAGGAAGAUAAUGACGGUACUUGAGGAGGAAGCCCCGGCUAACUACGUGCCAGCAGCCGCGGUAAUACGUAGGGGGCUAGCGUUAUCCGGAAUUACUGGGCGUAAAGGGUGCGUAGGCGGUCUUUCAAGCCAGAAGUGAAAGGCUACGGCUCAACCGUAGUAAGCUUUUGGAACUGUAGGACUUGAGUGCAGGAGAGGAGAGUAGAAUUCCUAGUGUAGCGGUGAAAUGCGUAGAUAUUAGGAGGAAUACCAGUAGCGAAGGCGGCUCUCUGGACUGUAACUGACGCUGAGGCACGAAAGCGUGGGGAGCAAACAGG